CAAUGGUUUUCAUUAGCCGAUAGUUCUAGAUGUUUGCAGUGCAGACUUUUCCAGAGUAUGUUUUUGAAAAGCUCAAUUUUUACAGUAAAACUUUUGAAUAUUUUACAAAGAGAUCGAAAGGACUCGAAGAUGCCACAACCAACCGGAGAUGUGGAAACCUUUGCGUCAAGGCUGAGAUCUCAGCUGAUGUCGCUAAUCAUCAACACGUUCUACCCGAACAAAGAAAUAUUCUUGCGUGAAUUGAUCACCAACUCUUCGUAUGCUGUUUAUCAAGCUCAUUUUUAACAAGGAAGCUGGAACUCUGACUAACACCGAUGCUUGUAUCGGAAUGACCAAAACCGAUCUGGUCAAUAACCAUAGUACGAUCGCCAAGACCGGAACGAAAACGUUAAUGCAAGCUUUGCAAGCCGGAGCCAACAUAUGGAAGAUUGCUAGCAACUGUUUCCAUUUAAAGCAUGCUAUCUUUAAAGAUUAUUAUAAUAAAAUUGACUAUUUGAUAGAUGUAAA